UGCCAGCAGCCGCGGUAAUACGUAGGGGGCGAGCGUUGUCCGGAUUUAUUGGGCGUAAAGAGCGCGUAGGCGGCUUGCCAAGUCGUGCGUGAAAUACCCCGGCUCAACCGGGGGGAGUCGUGCGAUACUGGUAGGCUUGAGGCCGGUAGGGGGAAGUGGAAUUCCCGGUGUAGUGGUGGAAUGCGUAGAUAUCGGGAGGAACACCAGUGGCGAAGGCGGCUUCCUGGACCGGUCCUGACGCUGAGGCGCGAAAGCGUGGGGAGCGAACUGAAUUAGAUACUCAGGUAGUCCACGCUGUAAACGAUGGAUGCUAGGUGUCGGGGGUAUCGACCCCUCCGGUGCCGCAGCUAACGCAUUAAGCAUCCCGCCUGGGGAGUACGGCCGCAAGGCUAAAACUCAAAGGAAUUGACGGGGGCCCGCACA
rnacentral:rRNA from 1 species